GCGUUGCUCGGAAUCACUGGGCGUAAAGCGCACGUAGGCGGAUUGUUAAGUCAGGGGUGAAAUCCUGGAGCUCAACUCCAGAACUGCCUUUGAUACUGGCGAUCUUGAGUCCGGGAGAGGUGAGUGGAACUGCGAGUGUAGAGGUGAAAUUCGUAGAUAUUCGCAAGAACACCAGUGGCGAAGGCGGCUCACUGGCCCGGUACUGACGCUGAGGUGCGAAAGCGUGGGGAGCAAACAGG
rnacentral:rRNA from 1 species